GUCAUAUUUAGGGAACCGUUGGUCCCGUCUAGAUGAUUGUUGUCAAUCGAAUCUAAAUAGUCAUCAUUAUCAGCCAUGUCAGGGAACCACUUGUAUCAUUAAUACAAUAUUUAAAGAUUGCGGGCUAUCGACGUACCGGUAACCAAUUUUGUUCAUAAGCGGUUGACCUAAAUAGAAAAUAUGGUUACCACCACUUACUUUCGGUCAACCGAAUAUUUUAUGAUGGGGGAAAUUUCACAAACAUAUCAUUAUUUUCCAGAUAUUUAUAGAUUUGUUUGGCAAAAUACUGAUAACUGAAAAUUAAACGCCAAACCAAACACUACUGACAAA